rnacentral:rRNA from 1 species
AGAACGAACGCUGGCGGCAUGCCUAACACAUGCAAGUCGAACGCUCGGGGUUUCGGCCCCGGGAGUGGCGCACGGGUGAGUAACGCGUGGGAACCUGCCCAGGAGUGGGGGAUAACCGAGGGAAACUUCGGCUAAUACCGCAUACGACCUGAGGGUGAAAGAUUUAUCGCUCUUGGAGGGGCCCGCGUCGGAUUAGGUAGUUGGUGGGGUAACGGCCUACCAAGCCUGUGAUCCGUAGCUGGUCUGAGAGGAUGAUCAGCCACACUGGGACUGAGACACGGCCCAGACUCCUACGGGAGGCAGCAGUGGGGAAUAUUGGACAAUGGGCGCAAGCCUGAUCCAGCAAUGCCGCGUGGGUGAUGAAGGCCUUAGGGUUGUAAAGCCCUUUCGGCGGGGACGAUGAUGACGGUACCCGCAGAAGAAGCCCCGGCUAACUUCGUGCCAGCAGCCGC